AUUGAACGCUGGCGGCAGGCCUAACACAUGCAAGUCGAACGAGUGGCGGACGGGUGAGUAAUGUCUGGGAAACUGCCCGAUGGAGGGGGAUAACUACUGGAAACGGUAGCUAAUACCGCAUACCAUCGGAUGUGCCCAGAUGUGAUUAGCUAGUAGGGGGGGUAAAGGCUCACCUAGGCGACGAUCCCUAGCUGGUCUGAGAGGAUGAUCCGCCACACUGGAACUGAGACACGGUCCAGACUCCUACGGGAGGCAGCAGUGGGGAAUAUUGCACAAUGGGCGCAAGCCGGAUGCAGCCAUGCCGCGUGUAUGAAGAAGGCCUUCGGGUUGUAAAGUACUUUCAGCAGGGAGGCGGUACUCGAAGAAGAAGCACCGGCUAACUACGUGCCAGCAGCCGCGGUAAUUC
rnacentral:rRNA from 1 species